rnacentral:rRNA from 1 species
AUUGAACGCUGGCGGCAGGCCUAACACAUGCAAGUCGAGCGGGGUUUUCGGACCUAGCGGCGGACGGGUGAGUAAUGCGUAGGAAGCUACCCGAUAGAGGGGGAUACCAGUUGGAAACGACUGUUAAUACCGCAUAAUGUCUACGGACCAAAGUGUGGGACCUUCGGGCCACAUGCUAUCGGAUGUGCCUACGUGGGAUUAGCUAGUUGGUGAGGUAAUGGCUCACCAAGGCGACGAUCCCUAGCUGGUUUGAGAGGAUGAUCAGCCACACUGGAACUGAGACACGGUCCAGACUCCUACGGGAGGCAGCAGUGGGGAAUAUUGGACAAUGGGCGCAAGCCUGAUCCAGCCAUGCCGCGUGUGUGAAGAAGGCCUUCGGGUUGUAAAGCACUUUCAGUAAGGAGGAAGCGUUGAGUGCUAAUAGUACUCAGCGUUGACGUUACUUACAGAAGAAGCACCGGCUAACUCUGUGCCAGCCGCCGCCGUAAUAC